ACCCAGCCUGCAUCACCGAAACCCUGGGAAAUCCAUGGACCUGAGAUCCACAGCCUUCCCAACUCCCAGUGCACCUCUUCAUCAUGAUGGAGUCUUUCUCUGCCACCCAGGCUGGAGAGCAACAGUGUGAUCUCAGCUUACUACAACCUUUGCUUCAAGUGAUCCCCCUGCCUCAGCCUCCCAAGUAGGUGAGACUAAAAAUAUAAAACUAGUAUCCAGAUGCAGCAUGCACCACAUGUGGCUAAUUUUUAUAUUUUUAGUAGAGAUGGAGUUUCACCAUGUUGACAAGGCUGGUCUUGAACUCCUGGCCUCAAGCGAU
rnacentral:lncRNA from 13 species